CCUCUGGUGGGCAGAACAAAGCCACAGCACCCUCAAGAGAGAGAUGGCGCGUGACAAGGAGGGACUGCUUCGUGCUGUAGACAGAACAGGGAUGGAGGAAGCCUGGGUCCUGCUGCAGCACCCUCCCUGCUACGCUGUGGCUUGUUGCAUCCCGAAGAAAGCAGAGAGGGGCUUGUGCUGCUUCAAAUAUAAGAAACGAGUAUGCAUUUCCUGAGGAGGGGGGUAGAGCAAGCUGCUUCUUUGUCUAUGAAGAAAAUAGGAUUUUGAAAGCUAAAUUUUAAUGGCCAUUGAUGUCACAGGUCAAUACAGCCAAGAUCCAAUGCCAGGUCUGAGAUCAUCAGAAAAGGAGGACAUGGGUUUCUGCAAAGCCUUUUUCAUGGGACUGAUCAGAAAUGACCCAAGCAAAACCAAGAAGCGAUAGCUGAACCUUGAGCAACCUCACCCUGGUAGAUGCUGCUGAAUUGAGAGGUCACUGCUGAAAAUUUUCUUCUGAAAGAGUUAGUGUUAUGAAUAGCUAUUUGGAAGGAAGCAACACAGAAAUAAGCAGGAUCCUAUCCCAGAUGUUAAUCUGAAGUUCAGAGAUCACAGUUUUCCUUAGAUGUCUCAUGCAGGGUGCCUGCUCGGGGAGCAAACAGCAUCCCUGUACCAUGGUCACUUGCCUGUGUUGGCUUUUGCGGAGGGAGAACUGGGGUCAGAACCAUUCUACCAGAGCAAGUUCAGCGAAGAGCUGCAGACAGUCUUUUUUGGAUUUGUUCGGUCACUGUUUCUGACUUUCACAGGACAUUCCAGAUGGGCCUUUACUAUGGGAACUGUGGUUGAAACCUCUGAAUGCUAUAAUCCAUAACAUGACAUUAUUUCACAAUUAAAAAUGAACAACGACCUUCUUUUUUUGCAAAGAAGUCUUCAUCCUCAGGUCUCCCAUACGUACUAUUUGUAAGACACGACUUCUCCUCCCAUCCAAACCAGCCUCCAGUGGUUUCUUACCCUGCCAGAAGUCAAUCAAUCUGUUACCGUACAUGGAGCUGCAAAAGGAAGAUGCGAUACUACACUGCACACAAAAAAGUAAAGAAACAACAUCAUUAACAUCUUAAUAUCCUGUCCUGACAUCUCACAAAUUAUUUUAGACUUCAUAGCCAAUGUAAACAGGUUUGUUUUCAACUCCCCUAAUUGCCUGCUAAUUGAGAGCAGAUGCAGGCCUCAACUUUCGGCAGAUAAAGAGCAGCCUCUUCUCUAGGGUUUCGCAUCUAUCAUGAGGUCUCUGAUGUAUGCUUGCAAGCUUCCCUGGUUAAUGAUGCCGAGGCAGAGAAGAAUUGGAACUGCUCCUCUUGAAUCGUGCCUGAAACCUCAGUGAGACAGAAGGGAAGACAGAGCUGUGGGACUCAUCAGUAACAUCAUCAUCAUUAUUGUUUCAUUUCGUACUUCAGUGCACUUUCUGCACUGGCAUAGGUUUCCUUCUGGGGGGGAGUUCUCCGAAUUAUAGAUGGGUUUCUCGUUAUGAUAGAAAUCACUGGGUUUAUGAAAAAUGCAUUGCUGUCAUAUUCCAUUAUCUACUUCCUCCCAUGCUGCAAUCCAGUAGCUUGCAAGUCAUUAGAUUCUUUUUCAGAGUUCCUUUGAAAUAAUCCUUUCAAAAAACACUAUUCAUUGGGUAUGACCCCGGAGAGAUACUGUCUGGUACUAAAGCUCUCUUUUAGUUCUGCAAGGGAGACCUGUAACAACAAGAUAAGUGCAUGUAUAUUCCAAGUAAUGUCUGGAGUUUGCUGCCUCCCAUUAAAUGCAAUAGGAGCUCACAGUUCAAAUGGUAGAAUUUUGCUUUGUAAAUGUAGGAGAAAAUGUAGUUCAGAUAUAUAGGUAAAUUUGCAUUUGGUAGUGAUUUAAUGUUCCAUGGUCUGUUUUAGUUCCAACUUAAAUAUUACA